UGGGGAAUUUUGGACAAUGGGGGCAACCCUGAUCCAGCAAUGCCGCGUGAGUGAAGAAGGCCUUCGGGUUGUAAAGCUCUUUUGUCAGGGAAGAAACGGUGAGGGCUAAUAUCCUUUGCUAAUGACGGUACCUGAAGAAUAAGCACCGGCUAACUACGUGCCAGCAGCCGCGGUAAUACGUAGGGUGCAAGCGUUAAUCGGAAUUACUGGGCGUAAAGCGUGCGCAGGCGGUUAUGUAAGUCAGAUGUGAAAUCCCCGGGCUCAACCUGGGAAUGGCAUUUGAGACUGCAUGGCUAGAGUGUGUCAGAGGGGGGUAGAAUUCCACGUGUAGCAGUGAAAUGCGUAGAGAUGUGGAGGAAUACCGAUGGCGAAGGCAGCCCCCUGGGAUAACACUGACGCUCAUGCACGAAAGCGUGGGGAGCAAACAGGAUUAGAUACCCGGGUAGUCCCUGAGCGGGCUGGCAAGGCGCAU
rnacentral:rRNA from 1 species